GUGCUUGCUUCAGCAGCGCAUAUACCAAAAUUGGAACAAUACGGAGAUUAGCCUGGCCUCUGCUCAAGGAUGAUACGCAAAUAAAUGAGGCGUUCCAGAUUUUA